CAACAUUGACUUAAAGAAGCUCAUCUUCAACAGCACCUGUGACCUAAGGUUCUGAAAAAAACUUUACAGACUCUUUCAUCUCCUGAGUGGAGGAGCUGACGGCAAAAUUGUAAGACAUCAUGGAUUUGCUGAAAUUCGUGGGAGGUGUGGCACUGGGUAUGUCUGAGUGUGUGGUGGGCGUGGCCAGAGCUGUGGUAGACGUUCCUCUGGGGAUAGUGAAAGGAGCGGUGUACAACACCGUAGAGGCCGGCGGUAAAAUGAGCAGCGUGGGCUCCACCGCUGAAUUUAUUGGUGCCACUGCAGUUCUGCUGGUGUCUCCGGUGACCGGCGCUGUGAUCGGAGGAACAAAAGAGAUCGUCAAGGCACCGGAAAAAGUUGUGCAUGGUGUUGUUAAUGGCGUAAAAAGAGUGUUUGAUGAUUGAGCAUGAAACACAGACCUCACCUAAAA